rnacentral:rRNA from 1 species
CCUACGGGAGGCAGCAGUGGGGAAUAUUGGGCAAUGGACGCAAGUCUGACCCAGCAACGCCGCGUGAAGGAAGAAGGCUUUCGGGUUGUAAACUUCUUUUAAGGGGGAAGAGCAGAAGACGGUACACCUUGAAUAAGCCACGGCUAACUACGUGCCAGCAGCCGCGGUAAUACGUAGGUGGCAAGCGUUGUUCGGAAUUACUGGGUGUAAAGAGCGUGCAGGCGGAGAGACAAGUCAGAUGUGAAAUCCACGGGCUCAACCCGGGAACUGCAUUUGAUACUGUUUCCCUUGAGUGUCGGAGAGGUGAGCAGAAUUCCAGGUGUAGCGGUGAAAUGCGUAGAUAUAAGGAAGAACUCCGAUUGCGAAGGCAGUUCACUGGACGACAACUGACACUGAGGCUCGAAAGUGUGGGGAUCAAACAGGAUUAGAUACCCCAGUAGUC